rnacentral:rRNA from 1 species
UAGGGAAUCUUCCACAAUGGACGCAAGUCUGAUGGAGCAACGCCGCGUGAGUGAAGAAGGGUUUCGGCUCGUAAAACUCUGUUGUUAAAGAAGAACAUAUCUGAGAGUAACUGUUCAGGUAUUGACGGUAUUUAACCAGAAAGCCGCGGCUAACUACGUGCCAG